GCGGGUGUAGUUCAAUGGUAGAACACGGGCUUCCCAAGCUCGUAGCGUGGGUUCGAUUCCCAUCACCCGCU
rnacentral:tRNA from 1 species